CUUCCUCUCUCCAUCCUUCCCUUCUUCUCACCGCAUUUCGAAAUCGAUGAAGAUCCAAUCGUCUUUUUCUUCUCUUUCACUCCGGCACAAACCCAUCAAUAAAACUAACAGAAAAAACUACCUCCGCCCAAAGCUUCCAAUAUCCCCAAAUUGCCCCUCCCUCUUCCAAGAAAUCCCAAACCCCACAAAAGAUCUCUUCCAAGAAGAAGGAAAGAAAGAACAAGAACAAGAACAGGAUCAAGAUGUUCAAGGAAAAGAUGGAAAGACAGAGCUCGAUCUUUCCUCUUCAGCAAUUUCGAAUCCUUUCACUUUCGGUUAUGGGAAUUCAUUCUUCAAGAUCGCUUUGUGUGGCUUUGGCCUCUUUGUAUUCCAAACCAUAUGUACCGUUUGGUUUCUGAGUAAUGCUGAUCUUCAUGAGAAGUCCAGGUCUGAAUAUUCAGCGGCUGGCAGUUCGCUGCCGGAAGCAGUGGACCAGAGCAAGAUUGGUGAUGUGGGUGUUUCUUUAAAUGAGCCAGAAUUCGAAAAGAAAUUCUCGGAAAUUCGGAUCAUGGCAAAGGAAGCCCGGGCUGUGGAGCGAAAGACUAAGAGGAAUGCCGGUCCAGACUCUUCGUCUGUAGUUGGGGAGGAUGGCAAUGAAAUUGUGGUUGAAGAUGCUGUUUCUAGCAUUAAAACUGAGAUUCGGAAAGAGUUAGAUCAGCAUUUGGUUAGGUUGCUGAAGGAUCUUCGAUUACGUAAGGAGAAGAACCUGAGUUCGUCAAGUUUGGAUACCAAAGGUGGGAAUUCGGCACUCAGGAAGAAACCCAAGUCUGGAAUUCCAUCUAUGAAUGCGAGAAAUUAUCCAAAGGGUUUUGGGGUGUCGAAGAAUUACUGGAGUAGGAGUGAAAGUGAUGGUAAUGGUUUGGAUUCAUUGGAUCAAGAACGGGGAGUGGAUGUAUCAGUUGGUAAAUUUAAGGAAAGUGGUGUGGCGGGAACAGAAGAAGAAGAAUCUUGGUGGUUGAGAGAUGAGGUAUUCGAAGGGAUUGUGAAGAAGGUUUGUGCGAUGAAGAAGCCGGUAGAGACCUAUUUGGCGGUUUGGAUUCGGAAGAGGAGAUUAGUUUCUUUCGAACAUUGGAGAGGAAAUUCGAGAGAGACGGGGAGAGCGCGAAGCAAUGGAUGGAGGAGAAACUUGAGGGGAUUGAUUUCUGGAACGGUGGCAUUCGGGAAAGCAGUGAAGUGAGCCCUCUGCGAAAACCUGUGGGGCCAUAUGAAAUGAUUCAAUCAACUGCACGAGGAAACGUAUCUGAUAUCACCACCAAGUUAAUCGGAAGAUCGGAGAGUGCCCAUGGCACUACUAUCAGUGGUAUCAAGAACAAUGGUAGUCUUCGGGUGGAUUUUCAGAAAGAUCCUUCUGUUGGAGACUCUAGUUCGCAUUAUGAUGAUCAGUCCUCCCAAAUUUCUCAAGGGAAAAGUAACCCAAGUGAAGGUUCGGAAAUGGGAACUAAAUCAAGGGAAUCGGCGACUCAAAAUUUUCGAAGUUCCAUAAAUGGAAACCAGGACAUGUCCACAGUAUCUAGGAAGCAGAUUCCAUCAACCGGCAAUGGCAGCUCCAAGAAAGGGCUACGAACUAGAAGAGCUGAACACAAAUCAGUGCUUCGCAAAGUUAAAGACGGCCAGUCAGAUGUUGAGACUACUUUGUGGUGGAUGAAACUUCCACACGUUUUUGCUAUUUUUUGGCUCAGAGAGUCCAACCCGAAAGGCACAAGUGGACUUUAUUCCUUAGAGAUGAAUUCCCAUUCAGAAGUCGAAAGACUUUGUCUUGUUGCUUUUGAGGACCGCGGUGAUGCCACUAACAUGUGCCAAAUACUGAAAUCAUUUUUUCAAGAUCUGGGCGAUUUCAGUGCUGAAGCCAUUCUGUUGUCAAUAAAAGAAGUUGAAGAAAUAAUGAAGACUAAGGGUGUGAUGGCAACUGUUGUUAGGAAGGGGCAGCUUCAGCUUUACCCUGGACAGCCGCUUGAGGAUGUCGAAAGGGCUUUGCAUUCCAUUUUAGAAUAAAAUUCUCAGAGAAAGACAUCGAAAAGGAAAGUCGGCAAGAAAGAAGCAGAAGAAAACAGGUUUCGUAUGGGUUGAUCAUGUGACCUUUCCUCCUUGCUGAGCAUGAGCAUUCUUUGAAUAAGAUACUGCUGAAUUCCUCCAUGCAUGCACUUGUUGGUGGGAUUUGGAAUUUCUGAUUGGAGUCAUCUCUACAGUGGAGAAAUGACCCCCACAAAUAACCUGAGUUUGCUUUAAGGACACACAUUUCAUUUAAAACGGACGGUCCUAGACAGCAAGCUUCAUUGGUUAGAUGCUGGAAUUUGAGAUGCCAGAACAAGUCAUUGGCACGGGUUUUUCACAAUUGGUUCCAAUCUGAAUCCAGUGCCUGAAAAUAUGAAAAGCACAAGUACCUGAUUUUGAUUUAAUAAAGCCUUAUCCUGCGUGCAUCAAGUACAAUUUGGUAAAUCAUUUCAACCCCAUAACUCAAAAGAUUGGUGAUUGAGUCAACAAAUCCAGAUCAACCAACUGAUGAACUGCCUAAUGGGUGGGCCAGUGAGGUUUAGCGGUUCGAAUUUUCAAACCAUUCAAUUUGUAGAACGUUCUCUGGAUGGUUGCUCUGAAUUUUUCUUAACAAAUUGUGCAAUGAAUUUCAAAUCAGCGACUUUGGGCUGUGGAUAAUCCAAGAGUUGGUCCAAUAAUUGGACGGUCUGGAUCCAUUGCAAAGUGCACCAAUCAAGGGUCUAUAGGGUUGAUAUUGUAAUCGAUGCACACUGGAAUCUAAACCUCGUUUUUAUUAGAUCUACUGUUACUUGUGCUCAUAUCCGUUCUCUUUAUAAUCUUUCUGCAAACCUGUGGGAAUCAUUUAGGAUGAUUGGUGAACAAGAAGACGGACAUAAGAGAUUUGAAUCAAAGUUAAAGGCAUCGGCAUCAACUGCAACUCCUUCAAUUGGUCAGAGGCUGUCAUUUUUUUUUCUCCAUCUCUCUCUCUCUUUUAUGGAAGUUCCUUAAUUCAUUCUUCUCUCAUUUGUGCAAGUUGUACUUUCAUUUCUUUGGAAAGAGAAAGGUUCUCCACUUUCAUUUCAAAA